rnacentral:rRNA from 1 species
CCAGACUCCUACGGGAGGCAGCAGUUAAGAAUAUUCCGCAAUGGACGAAAGUCUGACGGAGCGACGCCGCGUGGAUGAAGAAUGCCGAAAGGUUGUAAAAUCCUUUUAAGCCUGAGGAAUAAGCACAGUAGGGAAUGAUUGUGUGGUGACUGUAGGGCUUGAAUAAGCACCGGCAAAUUACGUGCCAGCAGCCGCGGUAACACGUAAGGUGCGAGCGUUGUUCGGAAUUAUUGGGCGUAAAGGGCAUGUAGGCGGAUGAGCAAGCUUGGUGUGAAAUGCUACAGCUUAACUGUGGGACAGCAUUGAGAACUGCACAUCUUGAAUUACUGAAGGGUAACUAGAAUUCCACGUGUAGGGGUGAAAUCUGUAGAUAUGUGGAAGAAUACCAAUGGCGAAGGCAAGUUACCGGCAGAUAAUUGACGCUGAGGUGCGAAAGUGCGGGGAGCGAACAGGAUUAGAUACCCUGGUAGUCCGCACAGUAAACGAUGUACACUAGGUGUCUGGCAACAAAGCUGGGUGCCAAAGCAAACGUGGUAAGUGUACCGCCUGGGGAGUAUGCCCGCAAGGGUGAAACUCAAAGGAAUUGACGGGGGCCCGCACAAGAA